CACUCUGGUGGCUUAGUGAUUAGAGUGUCCGCCUCGGAUGUGGGUAGUUGUGGAUUCAAUCCCCGGUCGAGUCA